rnacentral:rRNA from 1 species
GACGAACGCUGGCGACGUGCUUAACACAUGCAAGUCGAACGGAAAGGCCCUGCUUUUGUGGGGUGCUCGAGUGGCGAACGGGUGAGUAACACGUGAGUAACCUGCCCUUGACUUUGGGAUAACUUCAGGAAACUGGGGCUAAUACCGGAUAGGAGCUCCUGCUGCAUGGUGGGGGUUGGAAAGUUUCGGCGGUUGGGGAUGGACUCGCGGCUUAUCAGCUUGUUGGUGGGGUAGUGGCUUACCAAGGCUUUGACGGGUAGCCGGCCUGAGAGGGUGACCGGCCACAUUGGGACUGAGAUACGGCCCAGACUCCUACGGGAGGCAGCAGUGGGGAAUAUUGCACAAUGGGCGGAAGCCUGAUGCAGCAACGCCGCGUGCGGGAUGACGGCCUACGGGUUGUAAACCGCUUUCGCCUGUGACGAAGCGUGAGUGACGGUAAUGGGUAAAGAAGCACCGGCUAACUACGUG